rnacentral:rRNA from 1 species
AACGAACGCUGGCGGCAGGCCUAACACAUGCCAGUCGAGCGGACCUUUCGGGGUCAGCGGCGGACGGGUGAGUAACGCGUGGGAAUAUGCCCUUCUCUACGGAAUAGUCCUGGGAAACUGGGGGUAAUACCGUAUACGCCCUUUGGGGGAAAGAUUUAUCGGGGAAGGAUUAGCCCGCGUUGGAUUAGGUAGUUGGUGGGGUAAUGGCCUACCAAGCCGACGAUCCAUAGCUGGUUUGAGAGGAUGAUCAGCCACACUGGGACUGAGACACGGCCCAGACUCCUACGGGAGGCAGCAGUGGGGAAUCUUAGACAAUGGGGGCAACCCUGAUCGAGCCAUGCCGCGUGAGUGAUGAAGGCCUUAGGGUUGUAAAGCUCUUUCAGCUGGGAAGAUAAUGACGGUACCAGCAGAAGAAGCCCCGGCUAACUCCGUG